UAGCGUUACUUCCCUUCUCUCCUCCACCCUGCCCUCUCCUCCUCAAAUGCGAGAGUGUGGGAGUGGGGGACACCUUAUCUCAGACAUGGAGAGCUCUGGUCUCCGAGAGUGCUGAGCCGCAGGGGGCGCGGGGGAACCCGGGGCGGGGGGGCCGCCGACAGCUCGGCAAAGUUGGGCGUGUGCUUGUGCGCGCCAGGCGUGAGCUAGCAGGCGGCCACGGUGGUUCCCCUCGCACACCCCCUCCAGAGAAUUCCCCGAGAAGGCGGGCGCCGGCUUCGGGCCCGGGAUAGACCUGCGGCGGCGGCGGGAACGGCCACGCACAGGGAAGCCUCAACUGCCAGAAAACUGGUCUCCUGGAUCCUAAAGGUGACCUUCUUCCACGUCUGCCAGACCUUUCCCAUUGAGGUCAGAGGGAAGAUAAGACAACUGUGGCCUGCUGGCCUUUCCUUCCCAUCAGUGAUGUGCUGGAACCCAGGUCACCUCGGAGAAGAAAACAAAAUGAUUGUCCCUUUUUAGAACUGAGGAAAGGCAGGCCUGCCAAGUGCUCAUUAACCAGAUCAACCAUCCAGUCUCCUGACUGGAGCAUCAAACUCUGGCUGCUGACCUUCUGGAGUUGCUGACGGGGAGAUCAGUGUUCUCAACAUUCCGUAAGCGAAUUUUCCUUUAAUUACCAUAUUUCCUGUAUACUACUUGUACCUUCCACUGUGCCUGGUAUUCUUUGUGUGGUCCCACAAGUUCCAUGUCCAUGCUUAUGUACUGUGCUCUGUGCUUUAGAAGCCUGACCUCUGUGGAUAUCAUCAGUUGAGAUGAG
rnacentral:lncRNA from 1 species